GCGGAGGGCUGGAUGGCCGCGGGGGUGACCCCGAGGAAAGUCCGGACUCCCGUUGGCAAGGGUGCCGGGUAACGCCCGGCGGGGGCAACCCCAGGGAAAGCGCCACAGAGAAGAGACUGCCUUGCCACGAACGAAGGUUCGCCUUCGCUAGGGCAGGGCGAUGGUGAAACGGUGGGGUAAGAGCCCACCGCGGACUUGGCGACAAGGACGGCACGGCAAGCCCCACCCGGAGCAAUGCCAAAUAGGGGCCUCGCGCGGGGCAGGUCGGGUGACCGAUACCGCCGCAGGGACGCCAACGCCCGAGAGGCCCGGGUUGGCAGCUUGACCGCCGUGGCAACACGGUUGGCAGAGGAAUGGUCAUCCAUGGUCGCAAGACCGGGACAGAAUCCGGCUUACAGGCUCUCCGCGCAA
rnacentral:RNase_P_RNA from 1 species